rnacentral:lncRNA from 12 species
GUGCUGUUAGCUAAAACUGCUCCAGUUUGGCUGCAUGUGCAUCAACAACAGAUUAUUUGUCCAAUAAACACAUGCAGUCUGCCCACAUCUCCUAAUGUUUCACAGGUUAAAGCAACAAACAGACUGAGCCCUUUUAUCGGUUUGCAUUGGGAAGUCACAGGGGGGGGGGGGGGGGGGGGGGGGGGGGGGGGGGGGGGGGGGGGGGGGGGGGGGGGGGGGGGGGGGGGGGGGGGGGGGGGGGGGGGGGGGGGGGGGGGGGGGGGGGGGGGGGGGGGGGGGGGGGGGGGGGGGGGGGGGGGGGGGGGGGGGGGGGGGGGGGGGGGGGGGGGGGGGGGGGGGGGGGGGGGGGGGGGGGGGGGGGGGGGGGGGGGGGGGGGGGGGGGGGGGGGGGGGGGGGGGGGGGGGGGGGGGGGGGGGGGGGGGGGGGGGGGGGGGGGGGGGGGGGGGGGGGGGGGGGGGGGGGGGGGGGGGGGGGGGGGGGGGGGGGGGGGGGGGGGGGGGGGGGGGGGGGGGGGGGGGGGGGGGGGGGGGGGGGGGGGGGGGGGGGGGGGGGGGGGGGGGGGGGGGGGGGGGGGGGGGGGGGGGGGGGGGGGGGGGGGGGGGGGGGGGGGGGGGGGGGGGGGGGGGGGGGGGGGGGGGGGGGGGGGGGGGGGGGGGGGGGGGGGGGGGGGGGGGGGGGGGGGGGGGGGGGGGGGGGGGGGGGGGGGGGGGGGGGGGGGGGGGGGGGGGGGGGGGGGGGGGGGGGGGGGGGGGGGGGGGGGGGGGGGGGGGGGGGGGGGGGGGGGGGGGGGGGGGGGGGGGGGGGGGGGGGGGGGGGGGGGGGGGGGGGGGGGGGGGGGGGGGGGGGGGGGGGGGGGGGGGGGGGGGGGGGGGGGGGGGGGGGGGGGGGGGGGGGGGGGGGGGGGGGGGGGGGGGGGGGGGGGGGGGGGGGGGGGGGGGGGGGGGGGGGGGGGGGGGGGGGGGGGGGGGGGGGGGGGGGGGGGGGGGGGGGGGGGGGGGGGGGGGGGGGGGGGGGGGGGGGGGGGGCGCAUGUACAGGGUCGAACAGUCGGCAUUCUCAGAAGGUAAAACAGUCCAAGUUUCAGCUGAAGUUUCCAGAAGCAGCAGCCAAAAGAUUUAG